AUGCAGUCGAGCGGGGAGAGUAGCUUGCUACUUGACCUAGCGGCGGACGGGUGAGUAAUGCUUAGGAAUCUGCCUAUUAGUGGGGGACAACAUCUCGAAAGGGAUGCUAAUACCGCAUACGUCCUACGGGAGAAAGCAGGGGACCUUCGGGCCUUGCGCUAAUAGAUGAGCCUAAGUCGGAUUAGCUAGUUGGUGGGGUAAAGGCCUACCAAGGCGACGAUCUGUAGCGGGUCUGAGAGGAUGAUCCGCCACACUGGGACUGAGACACGGCCCAGACUCCUACGGGAGGCAGCAGUGGGGAAUAUUGGACAAUGGGGGGAACCCUGAUCCAGCCAUGCCGCGUGUGUGAAGAAGGCCUUUUGGUUGUAAAGCACUUUAAGCGAGGAGGAGGCUACCGAGAUUAAUACUCUUGGAUAGUGGACGUUACUCGCAGAAUAAGCACCGGCUAACUCUGUGCCAGCAGCCGCGGUAAUACAGAGGGUGCAAGCGUUAAUCGGAUUUACUGGGCGUAAAGCGCGCGUAGGUGGCCAAUUAAGUCAAAUGUGAAAUCCCCGAGCUUAACUUGGGAAUUGCAUUCGAUACUGGUUGGCUAGAGUAUGGGAGAGGAUGGUAGAAUUCCAGGUGUAGCGGUGAAAUGCGUAGAGAUCUGGAGGAAUACCGAUGGCGAAGGCAGCCAUCUGGCCUAAUACUGACACUGAGGUGCGAAAGCAUGGGGAGCAAACAGGAUUAGAUACCCUGGUAGUCCAUGCCGUAAACGAUGUCUACUAGCCGUUGGGGCCUUUGAGGCUUUAGUGGCGCAGCUAACGCGAUAAGUAGACCGCCUGGGGAGUACGGUCGCAAGACUAAAACUCAAAUGAAUUGACGGGGGCCCGCACAAGCGGUGGAGCAUGUGGUUUAAUUCGAUGCAACGCGAAGAACCUUACCUGGUCUUGACAUAGNAAGAACUUUCCAGAAAUGGAUUGGUGCCUUCGGGAACUUACAUACAGGUUGCUGCAUGGCUGUCGU
rnacentral:rRNA from 1 species